rnacentral:rRNA from 1 species
AUUGAACGCUGGCGGCAUGCCUUACACAUGCAAAUCGAACGGUAACGGGCCUUCGGGUGCCGACGAGUGGCGAACGGGUGAGUAAUACAUCGGAACGUGCCCGAUCGUGGGGGAUAACGAGGCGAAAGCUUUGCUAAUACCGCAUACGAUCUACGGAUGAAAGCAGGUGACCGCAAGGCCUUGCGCGGGCGGAGCGGCCGAUGGCAGAUUAGGUAGUUGGUGGGAUAAAAGCUUACCAAGCCGACGAUCUGUAGCUGGUCUGAGAGGAUGAUCAGCCACACUGGGACUGAGACACGGCCCAGACUCCUACGGGAGGCAGCAGUGGGGAAUUUUGGACAAUGGGCGCAAGCCUGAUCCAGCCAUGCCGCGUGCAGGAUGAAGGCCUUCGGGUUGUAAACUGAUUUUGUACGGAACGAAAAGCCUUCUUUUAAUACAGGAGGUUCAUGACGGUACCGUAAGAAUAAGCACCGGCUAACUACGUG